GGAAAGACUAGAGGGGGAGAAGGGGAGAGGGGGAGAAGAGGAGAGGGGGAGAAAAGAGGAGAGAGAGAAGAGGAGGAUGGGAGAAGGGGAGAGGAGGUACUGUUUGUCACUGACCGUUCCACUCAGAGGACUCUACCUUCUGUUAUCAAGUGGGUGUUUCCACUAUAUUUAGUUCACCAGUCAUUUCAGUGAAGAGAACAAGUGCACACUUUAGGAGAAAGGAGAGAUAAUUGGUGCAAUGCUUCUUUCUCGUCUACAGUCCUGCGUCUGUGACACCAGAUUGCCACCUAGUGGCCAUAAGAGGAACUGUCCUGUCAGUGUGUUUUCACUGCUGGCUCAAAACAACACAUGACCUGCAUACAUGAUAUGACUCGUACUACUGCACUACUUCUGAAGAAGACCAGAGUCAUUUCAGAAUGAAGACUGCUAGAGUUCUGAUGGUGUUGCUGUUCUGUCUGUCUGGGGCCUGGACUCAGGGAGAGAGUGGAGGGGUGACUAGUAGGUCUGUCUGUCUGUCUGUCUGUCUGUCUGUCUGUCUGCAGUAUAUACACCAAAUCAACAAAAGUAUGUGGACACCUGCUCGUCAAACAUCUCAUUCCAAAAUCAUGGGCAUUUGCAUGGAGUUGGUCCCCCUUUUUGCUGCUAUAACAGCCUCCGCUCUUCUGGGAAGGCUUUCCACUAGAUUUUGGAACAUUGCUGCUGGGACUUGCUUCCAUUCAGCCACAAGAGCAUUAGUGAGGUCGGACACUGAUGUUGGGCAAUUAGGCCUGGCUCGCAGUCGGCGUUCCACUUCAUCCCAAAGGCGUUCGACGUCGUUGAGGUCAGGGCUUGUGAAGUUCUUCCACACCAAUCUCGACUAACCAUUGUCAUGCUGAAACAGGAAAGGACCUUCCCCAAACUGUUGCCACAAAGUUGGAAGCACAGAUUCCUCUAGAAUGUCAUUGUAUGCUGUAGCGUUAAGAUUUCCCUUCACUGGAACUAAGGGGCCCAAACCAUGAAAAACAACCCCAGACCAUUAUUCCACCAAACAUUACAGUUGACACUAUGCUUUGGGGCAGGUAGCGUUCUCCUGGCAUCCGCCAAACCCAGAUUAGUCUGUCGGAUUGCUAGAAGGUGAAGCAUGAUUCAUUACUCCAG
rnacentral:lncRNA from 1 species